rnacentral:rRNA from 1 species
UGGGGCAACGUCUCGGACUUAUUAGAGUGGCGGACGGGUGAGUAACACGUGGGAAUAUGCCCUUUGGUACGGAACAACCAUUGGAAACGAUGGCUAAUACCGUAUGAUCCCUCCGGGGGAAAGAUUUAUCGCCAAAGGAUUAGCCCGCGCUGGAUUAGCUUGUUGGUGAGGUAAGAGCUCACCAAGGCGACGAUCCAUAGCUGGUUUGAGAGGAUGAUCAGCCACACUGGGACUGAGACACGGCCCAGACUCCUACGGGAGGCAGCAGUGGGGAAUAUUGGACAAUGGGCGCAAGCCUGAUCCAGCCAUGCCGCGUGAGUGAAGAAGGCCCUAGGGUUGUAAAACUCUUUCAGCAGGGAAGAUAAUGACUGUACCUGCAGAAGAAGCUCCGGUUAACUCCGUGCCAGCAGCCGCGGUAAUACGGAGGGAGCUAGCGUUGUUCGGAAUUACUGGGCGUAAAGCGCGCGUAGGCGGCUUGGCAAGUUGGAGGUGAAAUCCCGGGGCUCAACCCCGGAACUGCCUCCAAAACUGCUGAGCUAGAGACAUGGAGAGGUGAGUGGAAUUCCUAGUGUAGAGGUGAAAUUCGUAGAUAUUAGGAAGAACACCAGUGGCGAAGGCGGCUCACUGGCCAUGUACUGACGCUGAGGUGC